rnacentral:rRNA from 1 species
GCAAGUCGAACGAUCUGCUGUAAUGUAGAUAGUGGCAAACGGGUGAGUAACACGUGGGUAAUUUACCUUCAAACCCGGGAUAACUUCGCGAAAGCGAGGCUAAUACCGGAUAAGACCACGAUCCCGCAUGGGAUUGAGGUUAAAGUCGGGGACUCCAACAGAGCCUGACAAUAGAAGAUAAGCCCGCGUCCUAUCAGCUUGUUGGUGAGGUAAUGGCUCACCAAGGCAUUUGACGGGUAGCUGGUCUGAGAGGAUGGUC